GGUUAGUCGGGACCUAAGCCGAGGCCGAAAGGCGUAGGUGAUGGACAAUCGGUUGAUAUUCCGAUACCACCAUGAUCCGUUUGAGAAAUGGGGUGACGCAGUAGGAUAGGAUGUGCGCACUGAUGGAUGUGCGUCUAAGCACUUAGGAUGAUUGAACAGGCAAAUCCGUUCAGUCUUAAGUCUGAGGUGUGAUGGGGAGUGAAAUUUUAGUAGCGAAGUAUCCGAUUCCACACUGCCAAGAAAAGCCUCUAUCGAGGAAAAUGGUGCCCGUACCGCAAACCGACACAGGUAGAUGAGGAGAGAAUCCUAAGGCCAGCGGAAGAAUUGUUGUCAAGGAACUCGGCAAAUUAACCCCGUAACUUCGGGAGAAGGGGUGCCUACGAGAGUAGGCCGCAGUGAAUAGGCCCAAGCAACUGUUUAGCAAAAACACAGGUCUCUGCUAAAGCGAAAGCUGAUGUAUAGGGGCUGACGCCUGCCCGGUGCUGGAAGGUUAAGGGGAUUGGUUAGCGUAAGCGAAGCCUUGAACUUAAGCCCCAGUAAACGGCGGCCGUAACUAUAACGGUCCUAAGGUAGCGAAAUUCCUUGUCGGGUAAGUUCCGACCCGCACGAAUGGCGUAAUGAUUUGGGCACUGUCUCGACAACAAAUCCGGUGAAAUUGAAUUGGAGGUGAAGAUGCCUUCUACCCGCGAUUGGACGGAAAGACCCCGUAGAGCUUUACUGUAGCUUAGCAUUGAAUUUCGGUAUUGUCUGUACAGGAUAGGUGGGAGACUUAGAAGCAGGGGCGUCAGCUUCUGUGGAGUCAUCCUUGGGAUACCACCCUGACAGUAUUGAAAUUCUAACCGGAGGCCAUGAAUCUGGUCACGGGACAUUGUUAGGUGGGCAGUUUGACUGGGGCGGUCGCCUCCUAAAAAGUAACGGAGGCGCCCAAAGGUUCCCUCAGCGCAGUCGGAAAUUGCGCGCAGAGUGUAAAGGCAGAAGGGAGCUUGACUGCGACACAUACAGGUGGAGCAGGGACGAAAGUCGGGCUUAGUGAUCCGGUGGUUCCUCGUGGGAGGGCCAUCGCUCAACGGAUAAAAGCUACCUCGGGGAUAACAGGCUGAUCUCCCCCAAGAGUCCACAUCGACGGGGAGGUUUGGCACCUCGAUGUCGGCUCGUCGCAUCCUGGGGCUGAAGUCGGUCCCAAGGGUUGGGCUGUUCGCCCAUUAAAGCGGCACGCGAGCUGGGUUCAGAACGUCGUGAGACAGUUCGGUCCCUUUCCGUCGCGGGCGUAGGAAAUUUGAGAGGAGCUGUCCUUAGUACGAGAGGACCGGGAUGGACCAACCUCUGGUGCACCAGUUGUCACGCCAGUGGCAUAGCUGGGUAGCUAUGUUGGGAAGGAAUAAACGCUGAAAGCAUCUAAGCGUGAAGUCCACCUCAAGAUUAGAUUUCCCAUAGCGUAAGCUAGU
rnacentral:rRNA from 1 species